UUCCCUCUCACACAAAAACAGCUACUUUUCGUUUAGUCUACGGGGCAGUUUAUUUAGUCGUAUGAGCUGGUUACACAAAAGCAGAGACGGUUUGUGGUACAAAGUACAGUAGUAACGUAGCCCACACGAGUUUGGUGCCUCCGUCCGGAGGAAUUUGGCGUUUGGGACCAUUUCCCGACAGCCUCUGCGCUGUUGUCCUUCGGAGAAGGCACUGCUGUAGCCAGAGCCAUUAUGGCUCUGGCCGUAGCUGGUUGAUACUCUGUUUCCUGACUCCAGGGCAUCAUGGCGGCCCUCAGACCUCUAAUUAAGCCGAAGAUCGUAAAGAAAAGGACGAAGAAGUUCAUCCGACAUCAGUCAGAUCGUUAUGUCAAAAUAAAGCACCUUGGUCCAUGAGGAACGAUAUUUUGUUCCCGUAUACUGUGUAUAAACAAACUUGAAACUUGAAAGCAAGAAGACGAAGACAUGCUUUCUUCUGGUUUCAGAAAGUUUCUUGUGCACAACAUCAAAGAGCUGGAGGUUCUUAUGAUGAGCAACAGGAGGCACUGCGCAGAAAUUGCUCACAAUGUUUCUUCUAAGAACAGGAAGCAGAUUGUGGGGAGGGCGGCACAGCUGGCCAUCAAAAUCACCAACCCCAAUGCCAGACUGCGCAGUGAAGACAGCGAGUGAUCUUUCCCUCCUCUGUACAGUGUAAUUAUUUUUUUAUACAUUUUUAAAAAUGUAAAAACAAACCUGUUUUUUUUUUUGUUUUGUUUUUUGAACAAGCUGAUGGGAAUAUUAUUAUUAUUAUCGUCCUUAAUGUUGUAGCUUGUACUGCCCCCUAGUUUAACUUAGCAUGGGUUAGGUCAGAAUAAUGUUCCCUGUGUGAACUGGACUUUGUGUUCUUGGCUAUAAAAAAAACUCUACAAAAUGAGUAUUGUACCUUAUCAAACCUGUGUUUUGUAGUUGUUCCAAUGUGACCUUGAUAUGCACUUUUAUACGUCGCUUUGGAUAAAAUUGUCUGCUAAAUAAAUGUAACGUAAUGGAAUAUGUGAUAGCUGGCCAAGGAAACAGAAGCUACUUGGCUACAAAAACAACUAAAGCUGGAUAAAGCUGUUACUUUGGCUGAAUUCUAAGACUUGAUUAAAAACAAUAGCUGAGGGGUAUGCAUGUGUUUUGGUGCCGCUGAGUUUUAUCCCUCAGUUUUGUAUUGUUUGAAUGGUCUUGUAUUGUCUUUCUUAUUGUAUUGCUCGCUGAUGCUUGGCCAGUACACCUUUGUAAAAGAGACUUUGCUCUGCUGGCAAACAAACAAUAAACGAAAUGAUUUUUCAUGCAGGAAAAAUCAA